CGGCAACAGAACAAGCGGAGCAGCACCGCGGGGAGCAGAUUCAUGUCCUACAUGGCCUGAUUCUGUCAUCUCCUCUCGCGCCACCUCUGGACUGUGAAGCAGACGAGGCCUUCCGGCGCGUGUCAUUACAGACUCAGACGGCUCCUUCGGAUGUCGCGCGGCGUCACCCUGGACUGGACCCGGAGAGCAACGUCGCAUAAUUCCUCUGAAAUGUCCACGUUCCCGACCCCCGCCUCGAGCGCCCCCACGAGUGUGACUUGUGUUGAAUAGUAGGCAGAAAAAUGAUUGCCUCGAUAUGCGAGACCAAUGUCAGGAGGAUGAAAGCUCGACUGGAGUUGACGAAUCAACAGUGGCAAGUAACACAUUUACUCUCAACCACUGCCUUUGAGCAAGGACUGUCAGGACUGAGACAUGAAGCCAAGAACGAACUGUUCUCUAAACAGCCCACAAGUAUGUGCAGCAGAGGCUGUUUGCAGGGGAAACAUCAGGAAGUUGCUAAAUUCUUCAAUCAGCCGAAAGGGAGCACAGCGGGUCAGAUGUGCAUGCAUGAACUCUUUGCACAUAUCAUCACGUCCAUGGACAUUAUCUGGUCUUCAAACUGAUAUCUUUUGUCAGUUGUGUCUUGGUUUCCAA